UAUUGGACAAUGGGCGCAAGCCUGAUCCAGCCAUGCCGCGUGAGUGAUGAAGGCCCUAGGGUUGUAAAGCUCUUUUAACGGGGAAGAUAAUGACGGUACCCGUAGAAUAAGCCCCGGCUAACUUCGUGCCAGCAGCCGCGGUAAUACGAAGGGGGCUAGCGUUGCUCGGAAUCACUGGGCGUAAAGGGUGCGUAGGUGGAUUUUUAAGUCAGGGGUGAAAUCCUGGAGCUCAACUCCAGAACUGCCUUUGAUACUGGGAAUCUUGAGUUCGGGAGAGGUGAGUGGAACUGCGAGUGUAGAGGUGAAAUUCGUAGAUAUUCGCAAGAACACCAGUGGCGAAGGCGGCUCACUGGCCCGAUACUGACACUGAGGCACGAAAGCGUGGGGAGCAAACAG
rnacentral:rRNA from 1 species